rnacentral:rRNA from 1 species
UCACUUCGGUGGCGAGUAAAGUGGCGCACGGGUGAGUAACGCGUGGGUAAUCUGCCCUCAGGUUUGGGAUAACCCCGGGAAACCGGAGCUAAUACCGAAUAAGACCACGAUGACUUCGGUCGAUGUGGGAAAAGGUGGCCUCUCGAAGAAGCCAUCACCAGGGGAUGAGCCCGCGUUUGAUUAGCUUGUUGGUGAGGUAACGGCUCACCAAGGCUCCGAUCAAUAGCUGGUCUGAGAGGAUGAUCAGCCACACUGGAACUGAGACACGGUCCAGACUCCUACGGGAGGCAGCAGAGCGGGAAUAUUGGGCAAUGGAGGCAACUCUGACCCAGCAACGCCGCGUGAAGGAUGAAGGCCCUCGGGUCGUAAACUUCUGUCGAGAGGGAAGAAACGCGUAAGGUUAAUAUCCUUGCGUCUGACGGUACCUCCAAAGGAAGCACCGGCUAACUCCGUGCCAGCAGCCGCGGUAAUACGGAGGGUGCAAGCGUUGUUCGGAUUUAUUGGGCGUAAAGCGAGUGUAGGCGGUUUGUCAAGUCGGGUGUGAAAUCCCAGGGCCCAACCCUGGAACUGCACCCGAUACUGGCAGGCUAGAGUCCCGGAGAGGAUGGCGGAAUUCCCGGUGUAGGGGUGAAAUCCGUAGAUAUCGGGAGGAACACCAGUGGCGAAGGCGGCCAUCUGGACGGUGACUGACGCUGAGACUCGAAAGCGUGGGUAGCAAACAGGAUUAGAUACCCUGGUAGUCCACGCCGUAAACGGUGAGAGCUCGUCGUCGCGGGUAUUGACCCCUGCGGUGACCAAGUUAACGCAUGAAGCUCUCCGCCUGGGAAGUACGGUCGCAAGACUAAAACUCAAAGAAAUUGACGGGGGCCCGCACAAGCGGUGGAGCAUGUUGUUUAAUUCGAAGCAACGCGCAGAACCU